GUUCUGGGAUUACGGCCAUGAGCCACCACACCCAAGAACUUAAUACCAUUUUUUUUUAAAAUCAUAAUGGGCUUGUUAAAUGCUUACGUUAAUGUUUAUUUUUAAAAAUGUUAUCUGUGACCUUUCAGCUUUUCAUAGCACUUCUCGUGUGAAUAUUUUAAAAAGGCCCUUUACUCGUGGGGGAGAAGCAGUUAUCCCUUUCAGCAGAGGGAGAUGGAGGAACAGGCCCUGGUGGGUCUGAGCACAGGCAGUCACCCCAACCUUGGUGAUUGCUUAGGUCUGUUCUCCGUUCACCGUAGCGCAUCCACUCUCAUUGUCAGCUUAAAAAUAAGCUUUUUCCUCUUUCUAAUCAGAACAGUUAGUUUGUUAACCAUCACGUUAAGGUAUCGAGAAUGAUGGCUUUCAGGCCUCAGAUAUGACACAAGUAGUAAAUGCAGCUGACCCUGAACAACAUGGGUUUUGAGCUUCGAAGGAUCACUUAUGUUAAUUAUUUUCCAACCAAACCCUUACUGAAAAAACCUGGCUUUGUGGAGGGCUGACGUUUCCUACAUGCGGUUCCAUAGGGUGGCCGCGGAGUCCUGUGGAUACGUAGAUUUGGGUAAACUCGGGGGGUGUUCUGAAAUCCAUGUCCCUGUGUAUACAGAGGGACAACUGCAGCUUUUUAAAAGUUUGUGUCCUGCCUUGUCCUAAAAAGGCUCCAAGGUGGAUGCAAAAUUAUUUCAUCCUUUUGGUUUUCUUGGUGGGAUAUUGAUGUUUAUUCUUCAGUGUCUAAAAUCCUGAGUGAACAGAGUUAGUGCUUCAGGAAUAAAGCCAGUCUGGAAACACAUAUUGAGAUAUCCACCUUUUCUUCAUGGUUUCACUAAAGGCCAUGAUCCUAUUUUAUUCGGUUGAACUGUAGGAAACUGCCAAUAUUUGCUGUUUUUGGCCUACAAAAUGGCAAGUUCGUACGAUAUUAAAAACAAAGGCUCCCUGGAUGGGGAAAAUAGGAAUCGGUGAGAACCUGAAGUUGUCUGUCAUGGCCUCUGAGUCACAGGUAAAUAAACCUGCGUGAGGGGAAGUUGGCUGUACAGUAUUUUCCCUCUGUUUUGAGACUGUCAGAAAAAGGAAAGUUCCAUUGCGUUGGGUCCCUUUUCCUCACCUUUGCUGCAGAGGGGACUUGCCAUUAUUCCUCUUGUUUCCAGUGCCCAGGAGGCUGAUGCCACAUAGAAGACCUGCAGGUCGGUGGAUGUGAAACAGGCAACGGACACGCUGUGCACCUUGGGACGCAUCUGAGAAGUGCGUGCUUGCAGCAGGUCUGAGAUUCUGUGGCCAAAAACUUACCCGUGGACAUUGAGGGUGAUGCAUUUCUGCUCCAAGACGUGUGUGGACUCAGCUGGAGGGAUAGAAAGGACGUGGAGCCUCUUCCCUCCUGGCCUGGGCUUGGACCUGCUGUGUAGCCUCUCAGUGACACCAGGGCCCCCUUGUGUCACAGCGGCCUCGGGUUGCUGGCACUGCCCCAGGAUGUCCCAGGCUUCAUGAUGUCCAGGCUCCCCUGGCAUGGCGGCCUCAGAUUUCUUUGCAUCGUCUCCCUUAUCCAGAAGUGAGUGUGAACGCUGAGUUAUUCACGGGAGUCAAGAAACCACACGCAGCCCAAAGUGACGUUUGUUUCCCUGAAAUGAUUUGUGUGUGUUCACCUUAAAAUGCAACUCAGUAAAACAGGCGCUGAGCACUUUAGCUUUGUGUUCACGUGGCCUUGUUCUCCGAACCACCCGCUUUGCGGCUCCUCCGUCCUGCCCGCCUUCAUCGCGUCUUCCUUGCCCUAUGGGUUUUAUCCCGAGGACCGUGCUCUGCUGUGUGGAAUGGAGGAUCAGUGGACACUGGCUUUACCGACUCAUUUUCUGUGUAGCUCCCAGUUUCUCAAAAUCAUAAUUGUCUUGGAUUCCCUGUGAAACUGGGAGUCAGGCCUUGGGCACAGUGCUGGGUGGCCUUGGGCACAGUACUGGGGCAGGAGGGAGAGAUAAGAACAAGAAGGACGGGUUUGUCAGGGGAACGAACCCCUUGCUGAAUUCCUGUGUCUGUUUUAGGUUAAAGAUGAAUGGCCGGGUGGUGGAUGUCUCACCUGCUGUGGCUGGACCUCGCUGUGCUGAACCCUGAGCAGGGGCCCCAGCAGCUGCCUCCUGCCAGGCCGGGGCCACAGGACUGGGCUUCUGCCUCUGGGAGGGCUCGUUCCAAGGUGCAAGGGUCUACAACACUGCUGUGUGACCUAAGGGGCAUGGGGGAAGCUGGUCUGUGCUCCUUACCUGGGAGAAGCUGAGCUCACCUGGACCAGAGCCUCUGGGGAGGUAGGAAGGCAGAGGCCUGGAAUUCCUUCUUUUCCCAGACAGCAAGAAAGCUCAGUGUUGCACCUGCUCUGAGAUGCCCUCAGCAGCCAUAUAUAGUUAUUUUAACAUGAGGGAAGGUGCCACUUAACCCGGCUCUGUGGGGAGCUUUGAGGAGUCCAGGCCCUGGGCCCCGGGCUUUUUAAUAUGUUCCUUCCUGAACAAAAAACAACAAAAGAUCCCUGUGGCUGAUGCCGACUGCGUGGGGUAGGACAUGCCGAGCUUGCGUGGGGCUUGCCCCUGAGUUUUCUUGGUGCUCCUCCCAGCCCCCACGGACACCAGCCUUUGCAGGCCGAGGCUUGUCCUGUUUAGACCCUCGUUGGUGGGGUCUGUGGUCCUGGAUCGAGGGCCCAAGCACUGCUUUCAUUGUUAUAAAUGAUUCACCGGAGAUGCACGGUUGCCCCCAAACAUCUCAUGAGCAUGAGAUACAGCCAGUGUCGCCGCCCCAAGCUCAUAAUUCUAGUGGAAAGAGGAAAUUUUAAUUUUAAUGUGCUCGUGUGACUCAGAUGCAAAUAUUCAAUUCCCGUUAAACUUUCAAGACCUUGAGAACCUCUGAGGUUCCUUGGAAGCCAUUCCUUGGCCCCACGACUAACUCUCCUGUGGAAGGAGGCUGGGGUGGUCCACGGGGUCUGGGGUCCUGCUACGUUCUCCAGGAUUCCUUAGGUUUCAUCAUUAGUCCCAGCUCUUCAGCAGGUGGAGCUGAUUGACUCUGACAUUUCCAUUAUUUUGUUCUUAUGUUGCCUCAGUUAACUUAGAAUAAUGAGUAUUUACCAGAAAUAAUUGAUGGCGAGAUGGGAAUUAUUGGUGAUUCCUUGACAUAGGCAGCCUGUAUAGAUGAGCGUGUUACACGGUGUCUGAUUUCUGAGAUGUUGGUCCAAACCUUCUCAGCGACACACUUUCAGGGGUACAUUCCUGUGAAGGAGAAGCUGCUUUUCCCCGAGAAGCGGUGCCGGCCCCUGCACUGGCAUGGUAGGGUGGCUGUGUGACUGGGCAGGGCUGGAUGUGCUCCUUCCCACCCCUGCGCUGGGCGCCUGCCUCCGCCCCACAUCUGUGUAUGAGUUCGCACCCAGCUCGAACUCAUAGAAUUGUAUAGCUUCCUUGACACAUUCCUGCACAGAGAUGAUUAGAUCUGGGGGCUGAAUCUCAAUCUGACAUGCAUGUAGGUAAAUAUUCAUGUGAAUGACUUGGGUCCUCCACGUUCAGGGUCAGGAGGCGCGAGGUGGGUUUGGAGACAGCUGCCUGGCCUCAGGAAGUUUCUCUCAGAGUGUGUUUCUUUCUCUAGCAAAGUAAAUGAUGCCUACCUCACGGGGCUUGACACACGCUCAGUACUCACAUGCUGUCUGGUCUUUAUUAUAGUUGUUAUUUGGGGAACAGCGUGGCUGGUAAGAAAAUGUGUUAUCUUUACAAUUUAUAGAAUGUCAUACAAGGCAAGCGUGAAACUAAGAAUCUACCCUAAUCUGAAGAUGCUGGUGCUUACUCUUCUCCUUAAGCAUUUUGUUGUCAUUCUGGCGUGUGUCAGCCAAGUCAUCUGACGGCACCAUAUGCGUGAUGCCAGCUCGGUUACCUUGGAACGGGGAGCCUGAGGCUGCCAGGGAGCAUCUCUCCUGCCUCCAGCCCUCGGCAGUUUGUCUCUCUCUAUCCUUCCCUCUGUCCCUCCCUAUCCCCCACUCCUCCUCACCACUCCUGCUCCCCUCCCUACCCCCCUCCCUACCCCCCUCACUUACUCUACAACAGAGGCCCAGACUUUGAAAAAUCCCAGCUGGGCCUAUUUAUCGCUUGGCUGGGAAACCAGAGGGAAAGGGACCCAGUUACUACAAAAAUAGAGAAUUGAAAUAGAAUGUGAGCCACUUUUGCGUCUUGUUUUUUAUUUUAGUCUGAAUAUAAAAGGCAAGUGUCAACACAAAAUCGGUGCUAACUGAGCCACACAGCUCCAAGUCUGCCUUGUUGGGACUCCGUGGGUUCCCACGCCCUGGCCUUCUCCAUGAGCGUCUGGACACGCCGUGGCUGCGAAAGGAGCAUUCAGUUAUGGUCCUUUGAAUGUUCCAGAGUCAUGUUUAAUAAAAAUCUUCACGUUUACCCACAGCCAAGUCUUGAUUUAAUAACAGGUACUACAGGUUUCUGGGUGGGUCUGAGCCUCUGUUUUAGAAGCAGCCGCACCAUCCGAGGGGCAGGUCCGUGUGGGCUGGCAGGCGGCUUGGUCCUUGGAGCACAGGGUGGACCUGACCCAGUCCUGGCAAUGUGGGGCCUUGCAGUUCUAGAAUGUAGUGAUGCAACCUGUGACAUAAAUAAAAAGCCUCAUGUGCCCCUAUGAGAAGCUAGGGCUUCCCCUCAGUACUGUGGUGUGCUGUGUUUGUGGUCCUGCAGGUGUAAAAGGGUGAAGGAGAUACCUAAAACCAAGAUUCCAAAGACAGCCCUUCAUGUCUGGUGCUUUCAUGUGUGUAUGAACACCUUUUUGACGCGUGUACACCUUCAUGCGUGCACCUGUUUCAUGCAUGUACACCUGUUCGCGUGUGCAUGCACCUGUUUCAUGCGUGCGCCUGUUUCGCGUGUGUAUGUGCCUGGGCAUUCAUCCUGUAUUGCGUCAUACGUUGUAUUUUACAGAUUGGUUUUUUUCAGUUUGUAUCGUGAGCUUGUAACGACUUUGUGAAGAAAAGAGGGGGCCCUGGCAGCCUUUGGCUCUGAGAAACAUGAUGUCACGGGAACAGAUGAGACAGCCUGGGUGAGGCCGGCAGAGGCCAUCGUGGCCUGGGAGUCCGUGCACAUCCACUGUCUGUCGCUGUGUGACAAGUGACCCCCAAACCUAGGGGCUUAAGUCAACAUUCACGUACGACUGUACAGCUUCUUGAGGUUGCAAAUUAGGGCAGCCCUGCUGAGCGGCUCUGGCCCAGUCCCCCGGGUCACCGUGAAGAUGCUGUCCAGGGCUGCAGCCAUCUGUAGGCUCAGCUGGGCUGGAGGUUCUGCUCCAGGAUGCUGUGCUGACGUGUCUGCGGGCAGAGGCCGGGUCGGGUCCUCCACACCUGGCCCCUCCCUGGGGCUGCCAAGUGCAUUCCUGCCCAGGGCCGCUCCUUUCCCCAGAGACGUAGCAGUGCUGGUCUUAUGCCCAGCGUCAAGGUGGCCGGCUCAGGAGCAAAGACUUGUUUCCCCUACUCAGCGGCCACUCCUGCAGGGCUGGGCGACAGUGGAGGUCACGCAGGAAGGUGUUCGCUGAAGACCGUGCUCUGUGACUUGGCGGGUGUUCCUCCCAGAGAGUGAAAUGGAGACUGGACGCCGGGAGCAGCGUCCUGCGUGACCUCAUGUGUAGUGGGCUCACAGCAGAGCUAAGUCCUUCCUUUACAGAUACUUUUCAGAGUCUGCCCGCCUUUGGAUUCUCUGAUUAACAUGUCUGAGGAGGGUCGCAGGAGUCUGCCACCUGCCAGGCCAAGGAGGUUCCCAGCAUGUGGCUGUCCCCUCACACCCUGAGAAACGUGACUCGAGGGGAUCACCCGAGUUUCCUAAAUGAGUCACCUGCCUUCUCUUCUCUUUGCUUUCAUGCCUCCCCCAGGGUGGGUCAGUCCUGUCAGCCACAGCGAUACCUGCAUGCUGGGGUUCCAAGGAGAUUGGGGGUGUGUGUGGUCCCCCAGGGAGAUUCGGUGACUGAGGAUGCUGUCAUAGCAGCCAACAUGUCCUUAUUGUUUUCACUUUUAAUGAAGUUCAGUUACUAGGUUUUCUGAGGCACAAUGACGUCCUUGUGAAAAAUUGGUGAUCAGGGAAGCAAGCAAGUGUGGGAAAAUGAUCCGGCCCUUAAACCUAAAAAACGAUGAAACAGGAAAGAGCCCUGAAGAGCCCAUGAACCUCCUCAUCGGGCAGUGAGGAGACACCUCAGUAAUGGCUUAGAAUAAAAGAGAUAAUAUUGAAGAAAAGGUAAACUAAAUUUUGGGUCUCCUAUGGGUAAAGAGAUUGUGGUUUACAUUUUGGAGGCAUGCGUUUAUAUACUUAUUUAUUUUUCUUUGUUGGAUUUAGAAUUAGUUGAAAUAAUUGUGUUUUUUUAAUUAAAAAAAUUAGGCUAUACGAAGUCUAAUCCCAUUGUGAUAUUUCUGUACUGUGAGACUCCACAUACAAAAGUGAAGCCCAGACUGUCUAUCUCUAAUGAACCAGAGCGAAGUUGUCAUCUCCUGCAGGUCGGUCUGGUCUCCAGGCAUCUGGCCAUCCUCCCAGUCUUGGGCACACCUGCAUCACUGGUGCUUCCUGCCAGGCUGUGACUCUACCUAGGUUUCAGGAGCACCUGGAACAGUUUUCCUGGGGCCUCCUGCUUUGUCCUGGCUCCUGGAAGCACAGGCUAUUGAUGAAGGACUCUCCCCACUGCCAGGUAAAUUGGUGAUUGCCCCCAAGGCUGUAUUUCUCGCAUGGGGUCCAGAGAGUCCGGGCGUGGUGUCCUGGCCCUGGAGCCAGCUCUAGGACUGCACGGCGGCCUUGCCUCUGCCCAUCAUCUGGGAACAGGGCGGUGGGGAGGAGAAGGGAAGCAGGGUCUUGCCCCUUCUGCGUCUUGAGAACACGGGAACACAUUGUCCCAUUGCCUCGUACCAUUCACAGUCUAAGCUUGUCUGCAGUGUUAUUUUAUAACCUCCCCUGACAAUGAUGUAUUUUAUAUAAGCAGCACAAAAAGUGGUAAUUUAAUACCCUAUCGAGCAAGAUUAAACAAUAAGGAGCAGAUACAGCUGUAGAAAAGUUACUUUAUCCAGGAAACAUUUAUCUACUGCAGUUGGAAAUGAAUCAUGGCUUCCUCCUCAGCGGCUCCUGAUGAGCCUUUGAAAUUCUGUCCUGUUCGCCACUGUUAGUUAUAAGCUACACCUUUCCUUCUAUGAUGUUAGUUACAAGCUCUACCUUUCCUUCUAUGAUGUUUAUUUCUUGCCUGUUCACCGCUGUUACAGUUACAAGCUGUACCUUUCCUUCUGCGAUGUGUAUUUCUUGCCUCUUCACCACUGUUAGUUACAAGCUAUACCUUUUCUUCUGUGAUGUAUAUUUCUUGAAGGCAUGGACUAAAUCCUAAUUCCACGGUAUUGGAUGCACAUACUCAAGAGAUACUUGUUUGAAUGAAUGGAUUAAUGGAAAAUAGAAGUGGUGACUUCACUUUUAAUUCAUUAUGUCAAACUUUGUUUACACGGAAACUUUUAUGGUCCUUUGGAUAAACAGGGCCUCUGUGCAGGGUUGUUAGAGAUUGUGAGAGUGCCGCAAAUGGCUCUGUGGCUCUAGGCUCACAAAGGGCUUGAGGGACUUGGUGGCGGCACCUGUGUUGAAAACUGAGUUCUGCAAAUCCAUUCGAGUGACCUGCCAGCACACAAAGUCCUGCUUCCCAGUUGAUUUCUGCACAGAGGCUUCUCCUGAAUGCCCCAGGUAAACGUGGGUUUAGCCAGCACUGAUGGGCUUCCACAGCAAGGAUGAGAGAGAAGAGGGGCAGGAUCAGGAUCUUCCUGGGCCCCAGUGCCCGUGUGGGGACGCUGCCUGGCCUGGCUCUUCUGGGGGAGGUCAGGGAAAUGAUGGCAUGGAGGGACUGUUGGCACGAGCUGCUUGCUCAAACAUAGAUCCCAGGUCUGUGUGGGAGGCAAAAUAGAAAUUUAUGUGGCUAUCAUCAGUAACAUAGCAAAUAUGGGCUUCUUCCCUAGGGUGGCUGACCCUCUUGCCCAUCUGCUGAGCAAAGGCCAGGCCCGGCCUUCUGGGCCUCCACAGUGAGCUUUUCCCAAGCUCUGUCCCCUCCGUGGAGAUGGCUGGAGCCAGGGCAGACAUGGGGUGUUUGCUACUUUUUUUUUUUUUUUCUUUUUCGAGACGGAGUCUUGCUCUGUUGCCCAGGCUGGAGUGCAGUGGUGUGAUCUCGGCUCAGUGCAAGCUCCGCCUCCAGGUCAUGCCAUUCUCCUGCCUCAACCUCUCGAGUAGCUGGGACCACAGGUGUCCACCAUCACAACAGGCUAGUUUUUUGCAUUUUUAGUUGAGACAGGGCUUCACCGUGUUAGCCAGGAUGGUCUCCAUCUCCUGACCUCGUGAUCCACCCGCCUCGGCCUCCCAAAGUGCUGGGAUUACAGGCGUGAGUCACCGCACCCGGCCAGGUAUUUGUCAGUUUUUGAAAGCUACAUUUAAAGAAUGAAAUGGACGGAACAGAAUUACUUCCUUUUGAAUAUUUAAUACUUAGUCUACCAGAACACUUAAAUAUAGUUAAUGUAUUCAAAUAAUAAGAAAGAACUUUCCCUCUGUUUCCAAAGCAAAAGUAUAAACAACCUUUUACUUGGCAGGGAUUUCACUAUGUUUCUGAAAAGCCAGCAAGCACUUUUCCUGAAAUAGACCCGUCUCUUCCUCUGCAUAGACCCUAUGAACAUUUUAGCUACAUUUCUGCUGUAUCUUAAUGUGAUAGAUGAUAGAAAAUUCCUUGCUACUGGAACUUCACGAUGCUUUCCUUUUAAACAUCAAAUAGAACGUAUGGAUAGUAAAUCUCAGACUAGUUGCGAUUAUCAGUCUUGAUAGAGCUCCCACCAAGAGCCUCUGUCAGUUACAACAGAGUGUGUCUCCCCAGCAACCCGGCUUAGAUUGCAGACCGAGCCAGGCUCACCCAGGAUUCAGUGCAACGUCUUUCAAAGCUGUAGUCACUGCUCUUGGAGGAGACUUGAGAAGUCCUCCCUUUGAUGCCUGUGCAUGGCUGUUCUCAGAUCACAGCAGCUGCAGCAGCAUCUCAGAGGAUGCCAGCAGGGGUGUCCUGGGUAUUGACACCACGGUAGGGGCCUGCAGUGUCUGAAUGAAAUGGGCCGUGAAAGUGAGCACCCUAGAGGAGUCCACAGCCACGUUUCAAAGGUGCAGUGGCCCGAGGUGAACCCCAGAGCACUGAGGAGCCUGGAGUUGACCUGUCACGACUUCAUUGAGAGAGCUGACUGAAUUCCGUACCUGUGCGGGCAAAAUAUGGCUGUUUGCGCUUGGCCCCUUCUCAGUCCAGGGCUAGGGAGGUUGUCUGCACAGCUAGUGGGAGCUUAACUUUGUGCACACUCGGGGUUGGGUCCCACUCCUUUCUGUGAGCCCAGGGAAGAUAGACAUGCCGAGCUCUCCUGGAAGAGGGCCCUGACGAGUGGAAGCUGAGCUUCAAGAUGGUCGGCCUUGUGGUGUGCGUGGCGGGAUCAGAGUCGGGUGCAUGCUGAGUGGGGGCCCGGCUGCUGCUGUCGCUAUUGGGCUCAGCAGACGCUGAGGGGGACGUGGCUCCUGUUGUACUUGGUGUUUUUCUCCUCACAGGAGUGGGUUUCCCUGCGGUGAAGGUGUCGGUGCUGUGACAGGCAGCCUGGCAGGAGGAAGGCGCUCGUGGGGUUGUGCCCCGAUGUCCCCUUCCUCUUGAGGAGCAGGAAGGGGGUUUGGGAUCCUGCUUCCGGCUGCGCUCCCUUGCUAGGUUCUUGGCCUCCGGGGCCGGGAGAAGCUGAGUGCAGGCCUGAAGCCUGGACCCCUUCCAUAGCCUCCGUGGCGCUUGUGGUGCUAUGCGGGACGUGGCCCUUGGAACUCCAAGCCCUACCCUGGCAUGCCCGCCCAUUGGGGCGUCUCGGGCACCUGCUGUGUGCUAGGCUCCGUGGUGGGGUGGGCGGUAGCAAGGGCUGUGGGGUAGAGGCGACACGGUACGCGGAUGAUGAUGAGAAGCAUCAGGGAGGCAGUGAGAGCAGAGCUGCGACCUGCAAGGAGGGGACUGGCUGUGGGUGCUGGGGCUCAGGGAGCAGCCUCUACCCAGAGUCACAGCGGCCAGCGAGGGCAGAGCAGGGGACCGAGGACCAGGGAAGCCGUGUGUAUGGUUCGCAUCAGGUGUGCAGGUCUGCCGGGCUGUGAGGCCCUUCUCAGUCCUGGCUGGGCCUGGGGUCCCAGAGGGAACGGAGGGUCCUCGCAUCUCCCUCCUCUUGCUUCCCUGAUGCUUCCUGGUCAAGGGAUGUGCGUUCUCAGGCUGUACUCGGUGCUUAGGUGACAAGAACGUCUUAGAGCAACGGACUGUGUACUCCAAAGGAUGCUGUGCAUGAAUUGAGACACAGUUUACUUGUGGGGUUUAAAUUUCCUGGGUGUUGGAGGCAGUUACGGGGAGACAAGGUCUAAAAAAGCCCUUGGGGAUGAGGAAGGCAAUAAUGAAAAAGAUUACUUUAUACACACUUAGUUGAUUUAAUUUGUAGGUGAAUUUCGCAUUUUGGGAACUACUAAAGCUACUGUUUGUGGGGAUUCCUUGAUGAGCUUGUUUUCUGUCAAGUAGAAAGUAAAGUGGAUCGGUUUUGCUUUUAAUUCUGACUGACUAGAAUCUACUUCCUUUUUCACCCCAUUCACGUUAGGGUGGGGAUUGGACUAGAAGAGCUGUAGGAUCUCUUUAUUUCUGAUCUUAAAUGAAUUUUUUCUUUGCUCACUGUUUUUGUUGUUGUUGUUGUUUUUGGUGAGCUACUGUUUUUUCCUUCAAUACACUGUUCUACGGGUUGGGAAAUGUGCUCAAUUUGUACCGUGCUUUAAAUGUACACAGUGGUUCUAAAUUGCUACUUUUCGUUAAAGUUAGAUAUAACAUCUUAAUUAAAAUGUCAUCUAUAAAUCAGGCACAGUCUGAGGCCUGGAGACCCCUCUUGUCACUUCCUUCCCGCCGUGUCUCCUUCCCUGGCCACGUUGCCCCUGGCCACAUCUCCUCCCCACACCACGCCGUGUCAUCCCCCCACCAUGUCACCUCUGGUCACAUCACCUCCCUCCCCCACAUCACCUGUGGCCUCACUGCCUGCUUCCCUCCCUCCUUGGUGGCCUCCAUGGCUCCUGCUGUCUGCCCUCCUGAGAGUCUGUUCGAGGCUCCUUCCCCGUUUUCUGCUCCUAAGUGGGUCUUGGGGCCUGGAUGUUUCACAGGAUGCAAGUUUCUUCCCUUCCAGCCGCGGGUCUCUGAGCGCCAAGUCCAGAGAGUGCACUAAACUCUCCUUACCCACCUGGGGGCCCCGAGCCCUGACCGCCGACCACCAGGGCUUUUCUGCAGGGUGUGGGGCAGACUCAUGCGUGAAUUGGACUCAAAAGGUGCUUCCAGGAAUCCUUGUUUUAAGAGCACUGGGGCAGAGAUGUGGAGAGGGGACCUCCGGGUUUGCUCAGAAUUUGGCCCUGAUCACAGCCAAUGAGGCAACAUAAGCUCCUCCUAAAUGAAGCAUUCCAUAGACUGAUUUUACACAUGACAGUUGUGAUGGCUGGGAAAGGCUUCACACAAUGAGUGAGUUUGAGCUGCAUUGGAAGGAAGAACAGGUCUCUGCAGGUGGAAAUGAAAGAUAAGGGUGACCCAAGUCAUCAGCUGUAGCGGGGGGGUGGGGUGGUGCGGACUCCCCAUGGAUGGUGGGCAUCGCUGUAAUUCAGGAGAAGGCAGGGGUGCGAAGCAACAGCACAGCAGCAUUAAAAUUCCCCUGCAGAGAGGGGACUGAGAUAUUAUCACAUGUAUACAACUGAGAGAUGAUUUGAGGAUGAUUUCUGGGAGCCUAUGGGAAGAUCACGUGCUCAUCAUCAGUUCUCGGGAUCUCUUUAUGAAGUGAAAACAGUCAUGCCUCUGCCUAUCUUGUGAGCUGUUAAGAUCAAAUCGGAUAAUCUUCAGCGAGCCUUGUAAAUGCUAAAGGUUAUGACAGACUGUUCCAGCACCCUUGUCUCUACCCUCCUUUCCUCCUCGGUAACGUGAACCCUGCUGGGUACCUCACUAUCUGCCUGGCUUCCUCCUCCAUAACGUGAGCCCUGAGUACUUGCUGGGUACCUCGCUGCCUGCCGUACAGCUGGCUGUAGCCUUGUCAAACGCACUUGGCUGGCACAUAAGCAGAAGUGCUCGCCGGGCCUUGGGAGGGCUUUCUGACAUGUGGGUGCCUGCUUUUCCCUGUUAGGCUGGAGCUGCAGGAGCCCUCCUAGACCAGACAGAGGACCAAGGCUGUGGCCUCGGGGUGGGGGUUGGGGGAGCUCCCUGGGUUUAUUGUGUGGGUGAGAGCAAACUUCAGUCCCGCUGCGGCAUCGGGAUUCAGGGUUCCUUCUGGAAUGUUCUGAGUGAGAAACAGGAAGUGUGCACAGGUGCGUCUUUUGCGGAAUUUACGGUUAUCUUGAGAGAGCACUGGUGCCUCUGAGCUAUGAACCUGCAGAACCACUUCUUCCACUAACGGCCGCCUUUAUAGAAAGAAUGACUUACAAACGAUGCCACUUCAGAUGGAGGUAUUUGCAGGUGUGGCCUGAAAAAUGAACAAAAUGACUUUCAUCUCAAGGAAAGUACCUUACAUUAUUCCCAAGGAUAGACAUUUGAGCUUUCCAAUGAGUAUUAAAAUAUAAAAAUCUUGUGUCCACCACUUUCUCAUGUGACCAAUGGUGAUAUUGAUGUGUUUUUGUUUGUUUGUUUUUUGAUAUAGAACGAAAUGUGGAAGUUGCUCAUAAUUCUGAACCAGUGUUUUCUAACCAAUGUGUGAUUACAAAAUCGUGUGCUGGUAAAAGUCAUUCAAGUGCAGGACGGACCAGUUGACUCAGAAGGAAUUGGGGCAGAAAGGCACGUCGACCAGAGCGCAGACUGCGUUGCAGACAGCCUGUGCGGAAGUGCCACUUGUUACAUUUGGCAGCAGAGAAUACCUAAAAUGAUCUGAAAACACAAUGAAAAUACUGCUUCCUACUUGUAUAUCAGCAUGGGGUCGGACUUCCUUCAUAAACUUUAGCCACGGCUCUGCAGCCCACUGAAUGCAGAUGCAGGCAUGAGAACCCUGCUGUCUGAGGUGCAGAGAUGUUAGGUGUUUUCACAGCAGCACAAACUGUUGCCACGCUGCUACUUAUUUGGGAAAAUGGUUUCUUCUUGAAGACUGUGUUAAGAUGUAAUGACUUUAUCGUUGUAAAAUAAACUAAAUUGUUACCUUUUUUUUUUUUUUUUGAGACAGAUUCUUACUCUGCCACCCAGACUGGAGUGCAGUGGUGUGACCUCAUCUCACUUCAACCUCUGCCUCCUGAGUUCAAGCGGUUCUCCUGCCUCAGCCUCCCUAGUAGCUGGUACUACAGGUGUUCAGCACCAUGCCAGGCUAAUUUUUGUAUUUUAGUAGAGACGGGGUUUCACCAUGUUGGCCAGGCCGGUCUCGAACUCCUGACCUCAAAUGAUCCGCCUGCCUCUGCCUCCCAAAGUGCUGGGAUUACAGGCAUGAGCAGCCUGGGAUCAAGGUGCAGGUAGGGUUGGAUCCUCUGGGGCCUUACUCCAUGCUGUGUAGACGGCGUCCUCUCUGUGUCCUCACAGGUUUCUCUUAUGUGCGUGCAGCACUGAGGACUGUGUCUAAAUUCUCUCAAAAGAAUACCAGUCAUACUGGAUCAGGGCCUACUCUUAAGAUCUUAGGUGACCUAAAUUUCCAAGUUAAAGGCCCUGUAUCUAAAUACAGUGACAUUUUGAGUUUCCGGGGUUGUGACUUUAACAUGGGAAUCUUGAGAGGGGGGAUAGUUCAGCCCAUGACACCUUUAGGGAAGAAUCGUGGUGAAACUGCUACGUUGGAUCAGGCAAUGUUUCCUUGGCUGAGACGUUUAAAGCUAUAACAAGCAACUGAAGGGAAAAAGACGGUAUCAAAAUUAAAAAUGUUCAUUUCAGAGGAUACUAUUAAAGUAAAAAGACAACCCACAGAACAGGAUAGAUUAUCACGAUAAGGACCUGAUAUCAUGAAUAUAUUUAAAAGCUCUUAGUAAAAAUCCAAUUUAAAAAUGGACAAAGGAUUUGAAUAGACAUUCUCCAAAGAAAGACAUAUAAAUGCCUUAAAAAGCACAUGAGAUGUUUAGCAGAAUUCAUCAUCUUAGAAAUGGAAAUCAAAACCACCGUGAAAUACCACUUCACAACCACCGGAAUGGGUAAAACCCCAGUAUUGGACAGUGACAUGGUGGUGAAUUUGGGAAAAGUGAAAUCUUGAUAUAUUGCUAGUGGGAGGGGAAGUAAAAUGGUACAGUUGAUUUGGAAAAGUCUGGCAGUUCCUCAGAAAAGUUGAGCAUGAAAUCACCGUACAACCCAGCAAUUUCACUCCUAGGCAUAUGCCCAAAAAAAUUGAAAAUAUUUUGCAAGAAUCUUCAUAGCAGCAUUAUUCGUAGUAGUAGAAACAGUCCAGGUAUCUGUCAACAGGUCACUCACUGUGAGAUUCCACUCACCUUGGACGUGAAAGAUGUCAGCACCGAAGGUCACGCACUGUACGAUUCUCCUCACAACAGGUGUCCAGAAUGGGCAAAUCCAGAGAAACGGAAGUCGGCUGGCGAUUGCCAGGUGCUGGCGGAAGGAAGGAGCAGGUGCUGACUCUUAAUGGGUUCAAGGUUUCUUUGGCCCGUGGUGAAAAAGUCCCAGAAUUACAUACUAGUGGUUGAUGUACAGCUUUGAGAAUAUGCUAAAAAGACUGAAUUGUAUCCUUUAAUAUUGGGGCUUUUAUGGUUUGUAAAUUCCUUUCAAUUUCAAAAGGAACUCAAGAACUUC